GCGGCGGUCAGUCUCGCCUGAAAGCCUCGGGGUGCUCCGCGGGCAACAUCCCCGAGAGGCGCUGGUGGCAAGGACGUGUCAGUAAUUGGAGGCGUUCCCAGCGGCCUGAAUGAGCUGUUGGCCACGGCUGCCACCGAGGCUGUGCAGGACGCAGGGCAUCAACAUUCACAUCACUUUGUCACUCAUCAAUGCUUCCCUCCUUACUGAGAGGGCAGCUCAGGAAUGACAAGUGUGGUGAGAGGCGGCGGCGCUCUGCAGUGUGUCGACAGGGCGAUGUGGUGAUGUGGUGAUGUGGUGGUGGGGUGGUGUGGUAAUGCUAGCAGUAUGUGGUGCAGAUAAUGGUGUUGAUUGUGUGUGGUGCGUGAUAGCGGUGAUGUGAUUCAUAAUGAUUUUAGUGUAAUGAAGAGUGACGUUAGUUAUUGAAACAGUUAAUUUGUCUCAAGACACAAACAUAUAAACAGGUUCUUGAUUGCUCCAUUUACUGCAGGACUGAGUAAAAGGUGCAUUCCUUACGAGCCUUUCGCUUCGCCUUUCUCAUUCAUAUUGUAUUGAUUGUACGAGCACGAACCAGCGGGACGUGUCACUAUUGUUUAGGUGACAUGCAUGGCUUUAUGUUACUGCUGUGUUCGCCUCAUGUGCUACGUUCACUGAACUAUCAUGUACUCAGAGUUAAUUAAGACCAUUGCCAUAUUUUCCGAUAAAACGCAUUUCUUCUAGCAUAAUUUCCAUCUACCUCAGCUUCAGGGUUCCGAUUAGUGAUAUGUAAACUUUACGUAGGUUGACCACAAGGGGCACUCGGGGUCAGACAUUGGAAGGUAUCCCUUGGAUCAGCGUGGAGGCAGCAGGACUGACAGACAUGCUGGCCUGAGCGGCGGUUGGUCUGUGGUUGCGGUGUCGGUAUUAAUGGCAGCCUCCAGGCCAUUGCACGCCUUGAUUGCAAUGUUUGACGCCACUUGGACGCAGGCAAUGCAGCUCCUCCAUCACUAUUACGCGGACUGGUGCUGCGGGUUGACACAAGCACCGAGACAGUCCGUCUCUCCCCGGACAAGACGAGAAUGAAGCGACUUAAGCGGUACGGAAUUAGCGGCCGCGAGUAUCUGGGUCAAGGCAUUGGCAGUCAAGGAGUAUGCAUGACCAUCCUGUAAUGAUCCGUGCAACCAAAUCUGCCCUCCGAUGCGGGCUGACUAACGAACACCAUCAUUGACAGUAAUAAAUAGUAGUGAAGCUGCCAUUACGCAUCCAGUGGUGUAGGCAGUGUACUAGACGGUAUAGACUAGUAAAAUAAAACAAUCUUAGAAGGAUGUAA